UUCUGUGUGAGAAUAUGACUCCUGCUCCAAGCCAUCUGUGGGUUUUAUAAGGCGAAGCUAUCUAAAAGGUUGCUUUAUUCCAAGGAACAAAGUGGUGCAACUGAAUCAGCACUUUAUGCUGCAUACUCACCAUCGCCUCAUCGGGAUCAAAAGCAAGGCACACUUUUCGUGACUAAAGGAAUGGGCGUGAGCACAGCGGCUUGGAGCUUUCAGCCCGGCGAACAAGGAGGAGGGAAGGAAAUGUGCUAAUUAGUGGGGAUUGGAGAGCAAAGAGGAAGAUUCAAGGUCCAAGAACGUGGUGCCCAGGUGAUGUGGAGCGAGACUAAUCUGUUGUGUAAAAGUGCCUACUUUCCGCUAAUCUGGACUCGUUUUAAGGACGUCAUAAUUCGGGGUUUGCUUUGCUUCUCCAAAUGUCCAUGCCAAAUGUACGUGGAACUUAUGCAGAACCUCGUCAGAAAGGUGUUGUCAGCUGUGUUUGUGCGGUCGUUAAGUUUUAGUUUUCUAUGUUGAUUAUGAAGAUAUGAAAUCUGCCGAUUUUGGUUUGA